rnacentral:rRNA from 1 species
GCGAUGUAGAAGUGGCAACACUUUUUCAAAGCUAGUGGCGAACGGGUGAGUAACGCGUAGGUAAUCUGCCUUGGAGAUUGGGACAACCAUUUGAAAGAAUGGCUAAUACCAAAUACCUUAUUUUAAUCGCAUGAUUUUUAUAAUAAAGGGGGGCUUUUAGCUCUCGCUUCAAGAUGAACCUGCGUCCUAUUAGCUUGUUGGUGAGGUAGAAGCUCACCAAGGCAACGAUGGGUAGCCGGCCUGAGAGGGUGAUCGGCCACAUUGGGACUGAGAUACGGCCCAGACUCCUACGGGAGGCAGCAGUAGGGAAUCUUGCGCAAUGGGCGAAAGCCUGACGCAGCGACACCGUGUGAAGGAUGAAGGCCUUAGGGUUGUAAACUUCUGUCAAUUGGGGACGAAGGUAGUAGGGUUAAUACCCCGAAUACUGACGGUACCCGAUAAGGAAGUCUCGGCUAACUCCGUGCCAGCAGCCGCGGUAAGACGGAGGAGGCAAGCGUUGUCCGGAAUCAUUGGGCGUAAAGAGCGCGUAGGCUGUUUUCCAAGUCAUGUGUGAAAACCUCAGGCUUAACUUGAGGACUGCAUAUGAAACUGGAUAACUUGAGUGCAGUAGGGGAAAGUGGAAUUCCUGGUGUAGCGGUGAAAUGCGCAGAUAUCAGGAAGAACACCGGUAGCGAAGGCGGCUUUCUGGGCUGCUACUGACGCUGAGGCGCGAAAGCUAGGGGAGCAAACAGGAUUAGAUACCCUGGUAGUCCUAGCUGUAAACGAUGGACACUAGGUGUGGGGAGUUAUCGACGCUUUCCGUGCCGGAGCUAACGCAUUAAGUGUCCCGCCUGGGGAGUACGGUCGCAAGACUAAAACUCAAAGGAAUUGACGGGGGCCC